AUUGAACGCUGGCGGCAGGCCUAACACAUGCAAGUCGAACGAGUGGCGGACGGGUGAGUAAUGUCUGGGAAACUGCCUGAUGGAGGGGGAUAACUACUGGAAACGGUAGCUAAUACCGCAUACCAUCGGAUGUGCCCAGAUGGGAUUAGCUAGUCGGUGGGGUAACGGCUCACCUAGGCGACGAUCCCUAGCUGGUCUGAGAGGAUGACCAGCCACCAUGGAACUGAGACACGGUCCAGACGCCUACGGGAGGCAGCAGGGGGGAAUAUGGCAGAAUGGGCGCAAGCCUGAUGCAGCCAUGCCGCGUGUAUGAAGAAGGCCUUCGGGUUGUAAAGUACUUUCAGCGGGGAGGCGUUACCCGCAGAAGAAGCACCGGCUAACGCCGUGCCAGCCGCCGCGGUAAUUC
rnacentral:rRNA from 1 species